rnacentral:rRNA from 1 species
AUACGGAGGACGCGAGCGUUAUCCGGAUUCAUUGGGUUUAAAGGGUGCGCAGGCGGCCGUGCAAGUCAGCGGUGAAAGCCCGGGGCUCAACCCCGGAAGUGCCGUUGAUACUGCAUGGCUGGAAUGCGGUCGAGGCGGGCGGGACGUGGCGGGUAGCGGUGAAAUGCGUAGAUAUGCCACAGAACGCCGAUAGCGGAGGCAGCUCGCCAGGCGUGCAUUGACGCUCGGGCACGAAAGCGUGGGGAUCGAACAGGAUUAGAUACCCUGGUAGUCCACGCCGUAAACGAUGGGCGCUCGUCGUCGGCGGCAGACAGUCGGCGGCCAAGCGAAAGCGAUAAGCGCCCCACCUGGGGAGUACGGUCGCAAGGCUGAAACUCAAAUGAAUUGGCGGG